GAUGAACGCUAGCGGCAGGCCUAAUACAUGCAAGUCGGACGGGAUUCAGGAGCUUGCUUCUGAUGAGAGUGGCGCACGGGUGCGUAACACGUAUGUAACCUACCUUUAUCAGGGGGAUAGCCUCUCGAAAGAGAGAUUAAGCCCGCAUAAAAUCACAGCACAGCAUUGUGUAAUGAUCAAAUAUUUAUAGGAUAAAGAUGGGCAUGCGGAACAUUAGCUAGAUGGCGGGGUAACGGCCCACCAUGGCGACGAUGUUUAGGGGAUCUGAGAGGAUGGCCCCCCACACUGGUACGGAGACACGGACCAGAACCCACCGGGGGGCCGCAGUAAGGAAUAUUGGGAAAGGGGGGGAAGCCUGAACCAGCCAGGCGGGGGGCAGGAAGCCGGCCCUAGGGGUUGGAAACUUCUUUUAUAGGGGAAUAACCCCAAAUACGUUUAUCUGGCUGAAUGUACUGAAAGAAUAAGGAUCGGCUAACUCCGU
rnacentral:rRNA from 1 species